rnacentral:misc_RNA from 1 species
CGGCGGAUAGCAGUGGUGGCUCCGGCGUAUCCGGACCAGGACCAGGUGGCGGUGUGGGCGUUGGCCGCUUAGCAUCCAUAAUGGGCGCAGUUAGUUCACGCCAUAUCUCUACCAGUGAUGCGCUGGUAGAGGAAGGCGGUGGAGGUAAUAAUCAUGAUCAUGGCAACGGAAAUUGUUCAAUUUCAAACAAAAAUGGCAUAACCACAGCUACUGGUGGUUUUCUACAAAAACAAGAUUUGCAUUAUGAUAUCGGUUCGAGUUCUCAGUAUCAUCAUGUACGUCAACCAAGCGUUCGCAGUCGAAGUCAGCAACCCAUGCCAACCACAGAUGAAUUGGAUAGGCGUUUCGCAAAAGUUUUGGCUUCAAUGGACUUACCUCCGGACAAAGCGAAGUUGCUCAAGAAUUAUGAUGAUGAAAAGAAAUGGGAUAUAAUAUGUGAUCAGGAUAUGGUGCAAGCGAAGGAUCCGCCCUCUCAUUAUUUGAAUAAGUUGCGCACAUAUCUGGACCCAAAAGCGUCUCGCAGUCAUCGGCUAUUUUUCCUCUACUUUCUUUGUCAGAAACGCAAAAUGGUCGGUGAAUCCACAUCGACGCAGGUGCUGCGUGAUCUUGAGAUCUCGCUGCGCACCAACCACAUUGAGUGGGUAAAGGAGUUUCUUGAUGACACGAAUCAGGGUCUCGACGCACUUGUUGAUUACCUAAGUUUUCGACUGCAGAUGAUGCGACAUGAGCAGCGUGUCGAAGAAGCACUCUCCGAUUCCGAUGAGCGUCUAAACAUGACAAGUAGUCAGACGGUGGGAGGUGGCGGCACCGGUUCGGGUUCAGCGGAUGGUCUUUGCAGCACAUCGGUGGGAGUUAGUUCACCGCUGAGUGGUAGCAUCAACAUGGAUGGUAUGCGACAUCACCAACAUUCACACGUGGCUCACUCGGGCGGCAGUCUUAAUGGUUUUUUGCGUCCCUCGCUGGCCGAGGUGCUCGACAGCCCCAGCAUUAGAAGACGCUCCAGGCAUAUAGCGAAAUUGAAUAUGGGCGCAUCUACAGAUGAUAUACAUGUGUGUAUAAUGUGCUUGCGCGCCAUAAUGAACAACAAAUACGGAUUUAACAUGGUAAUACAACAUCGUGAGGCCAUUAAUUGCAUUGCGUUGAGUUUGAUACACAAGUCUCUGCGUACCAAAGCGCUAGUGCUGGAGCUUUUAGCUGCCAUUUGUCUGGUGAAGGGUGGCCACGAGAUCAUUUUGUCCUCGUUCGACAACUUUAAGGACGUGUGUCAGGAGAAGCGACGCUUUCAAACACUCAUGGAAUACUUCAUGAAUUUUGAAGCCUUCAAUAUUGACUUUAUGGUUGCGUGCAUGCAGUUCAUGAACAUUGUGGUUCACUCUGUGGAAGAUAUGAAUUAUCGCGUUCAUCUGCAAUAUGAAUUCACAGCUCUUGGUCUUGACAAAUAUCUGGAAAAACUACGUAUGACUGAAUCAGAAGAGCUAAAGGUGCAAAUUUCGGCAUAUUUGGAUAACGUAUUCGACGUGGCGGGACUAAUGGAGGAUUCUGAAACGAAGACUGCAGCGUUGGAACGUGUGCAGGAGCUUGAAGAUCAGUUGGAACGAGAAGUGGAUCGCAACUCAGAAUUCAUGUAUAAAUUGGCUGAGCUCGAGACAGAAGUUGCUGUAUUGAAAGCAGAACGAGAGGAUUUAAUGACGACAAAACUGAAAUUUGACGAAGAGGUCACAACGUUGCGUCGCAUACUCAAACAAAAUGAACAAGAGCUGAAGAAACGUGAAUCUCUACUUCAAAGCAAAAACCUCGAAUUACAAACGUUGACUCGUUCAUUACCACGUUCUGGUUCAAAUAGUGAAACAUCCUUACAAAAUGGUGGGGCGUCACCAGAUAAAUGCAUGUCACCUCCACUGCCACCUCCGCCGCCACCAUUGCCGUCUGCCAUGUCACCUGCCAGUUCGGCGCCUCCACCGCCACCUCCGCCCGCACCACCUGCUCCGCCACCACCGCCCAUAACGCACGGCGGUUCCGUGAGUAAUGGCGGUACAUUAUCACCUACAAUGUCGACAAACGGCGGCUCCAUAGGAUCACGUUCACCGCCAUAUGGCUCUGGUCCAAAUGGUGGACCUAUGAUAUGUGCGUUCCAACCGCCACCUCCACCUGUGGCCGGUUUCAUGCCCGCUCCAGACGGUGCCAUGACAAUCAAACGAAAAGUGCCGACCAAAUACAAACUGCCCACGCUUAACUGGAUAGCUUUAAAGCCAAACCAGGUUCGAGGAACUAUUUUCAACGAGUUGGAUGACGAAAAGAUCUUUAAACACAUUGAUUUCAACGAAUUCGAGGAGCGCUUCAAAAUUGGCAUUGGCGGCUCAUUGACAAAUGGUAGUAACACUGAAGUGGAUGGUCUGCACUCAUAUCCCAGUAGGCGCUUCAAGAAACCAGACAAUGUGUCGUUAUUGGAACACACGAGAUUACGAAACAUUGCAAUAUCUCGACGCAAAUUGGAUAUGCCCAUCGAUGAGGUAAUCGCCGCCAUACAUAGUUUAGAUUUGAAGAAACUGUCUCUUGAAAAUGUGGAACUGCUUCAAAAGAUGGUGCCCACUGAUGUUGAGGUCAAAUCUUACAAAGAAUAUAUAGCUGAACGUAAAGAUCAAAACCUACUCACCGAAGAAGACAAAUUCAUGUUGCAGUUAUCGCGGGUUGAACGCAUAUCAUCAAAGCUUUCUAUAAUGAACUACAUGGGAAACUUCUUUGAUUGCCUUCAUCUAAUCAGUCCACAAAUACAAGCUAUAACAACAGCUUCGAACUCGCUUAAGAAAUCGGUGAAAUUCAAAGCUGUGCUGGAAAUAGUCCUCGCAUUUGGCAAUUAUCUCAACAGCAGUAAACGAGGUCCUGCCUAUGGAUUUAAAUUACAGUCGCUUGAUACCCUAAUCGAUACAAAGUCAACCGACAAACGCUCAUCGCUAUUGCACUAUAUUGUGGCUACCAUCAGGCAAAAGUUUCCAGAUCUGCUUAAUUUCGACACUGAGUUGUAUUGCACUGAUAAAGCGUCACAAGUGUCGUUAGAAAAUAUAGUGACAGACGUACAUGACCUAGAAAAGGGCAUGGAACUGGUAAAGAAAGAAGCAGAACAGCGUGUAAAAGGUACACAAACGCAUAUACUACGCGAUUUUCUCAAUAAUUCUGAGGAUAAAUUAAAGAAGAUUAAGAUGGAAUUAAAGAAUGCUCAAGAUGCAUUCAAAGAAUGUGUUGAGUAUUUCGGUGAAUCAUCUCGUAACGCUGAUGCAGCUGCUUUCUUUGCGCUAAUUGUGCGUUUCACUCGAGCUUUCAAAAUUCACGAUCAAGAAAACGAGCAACGCCGCCGCUUGGAACAAGCAGCAGCCCAGGCCGCCAACAAAAAGGAAAGUGACCAAGUGUUAAUGCGCAACAAAAUGAACCAGAAGAAACAACAGAAACUGGGUUGCGUGACUAUGGAAAGCAGUUUACUACACAAAGCGCUUAUUAAUUCUGCGUGAAAAGACAAAGCGCAAUUGUCGCAGAUAAAUAAAAAUCGGAAUUUUAAAGGAUUAGAAAAAUACAAAAUAAUGACGCUGUCAUUAACGAGCUGAAGAGCAAAGCGAAUUCGGUUCGGGAGAAAAAAUUACUGCAGCAGGAUGAGGUUUAUAAC